rnacentral:ncRNA from 1 species
AUGGGGAGAGCACGCAUUAGGCGUCGCCGAAGGAGCAAGUAACGAAAGUUAUGAAUCUCUCAGGUAACAAGACUCA